GAUGAAGAACGUAGCGAAAUGCGAUAAGUAGUGUGAAUUGCAGAAUUCAGUGAAUCAUCGAAUCUUUGAACGCACAUUGCGCCCUUUGGUAUUCCUUAGGGCAUGCCUGUUCGAGCGUCAUUUAACCCCUCAAGCUCAGCUUGGUGUUGGGCGUCCUGUCCCCCCCCGGGGGACUCGCCUCAAAUGCAGUUGGCAGCUUAUCCCUCGGCUCUAAACGCAGCAGAUUUGCGUCGAGCGUCGUGUGGACGGGCUCUCCAGUAAGCAAACCCCCCAAAAUUGACCUCGGAUCAGGUAGGGAUACCCGCUGAACUUAAGCAUAUCAAUAAGCGGAGGA
rnacentral:misc_RNA from 1 species